UUUGUCCAUCCGAUAUCCGUUAUGUAACAGCCACCGUUACACUCAUCGUAGUCUCUGGUGAAUUCUACCGAGAUGGGGGCAGAUCCGAUGACGUGCGUAUACACCGAUUAUUGUUAUUAGUGUCGUAUUCAUCGCGUGUUCCGGUAUUAUAAAGUUGUCGUGGAUUGUUACAGGCCGUAAACACGAAAAAGCAGUCAUGUAAAAUCGUAAACAUGCUUAUAUUAUGUCUGCAGAUAUUAUGCAUAGACCUGUAGGAAUCCGAUAGUCAUAUUUUGUGUGAGACGACUUUUCCAAAUAUCGUGAUUUACACGUUUUCUUUCGGAAAAAUUACGGUGAAAAAUACGGUCGGUCCGUAUCCAAGGUUUUAUAUCAUCUCCACGUUAACAUAAUUUUAAAUGGUUAUGAUACUCGACGUUUUACUGGAUUAUUUUAUUGUUUAAAAACCC